rnacentral:rRNA from 1 species
UGUUUGAUGUUCUAACGUGGACCCGUGAUCCGGGUUGCGGACAGUGUCUGGUGGGUAGUUUGACUGGGGCGGUCUCCUCCUAAAGAGUAACGGAGGAGCACGAAGGUUGGCUAAUCCUGGUCGGACAUCAGGAGGUUAGUGCAAUGGCAUAAGCCAGCUUGACUGCGAGCGUGACGGCGCGAGCAGGUGCGAAAGCAGGUCAUAGUGAUCCGGUGGUUCUGAAUGGAAGGGCCAUCGCUCAACGGAUAAAAGGUACUCCGGGGAUAACAGGCUGAUACCGCCCAAGAGUUCAUAUCGACGGCGGUGUUUGGCACCUCGAUGUCGGCUCAUCACAUCCUGGGGCUGAAGUAGGUCCCAAGGGUAUGGCUGUUCGCCAUUUAAAGUGGUACGCGAGCUGGGUUUAGAACGUCGUGAGACAGUUCGGUCCCUAUCUGCCGUGGGCGCUGGAGAACUGAGGGGGGCUGCUCCUAGUACGAGAGGACCGGAGUGGACGCAUCACUGGUGUUCGGGUUGUCAUGCCAAUGGCACUGCCCGGUAGCUAAAUGCGGAAGAGAUAAGUGCUGAAAGCAUCUAAGCACGAAACUUGCCCCGAGAUGAGUUCUCCCUGAGACUACGAGUCUCCUGAAGGAACGUU